UCCCGCUUAGCUCAGUGGUAGAGCGCGUCACUAGUAUAUUACGUAAUAAUUAAUUACGCAAUGGCAUGACGAUGUCGCUUGUUCGACUCAGGCAGCGGGAA